CAGGAUUUUUGGAAACAGCCUAAAAAUGUGUCAUUUUGUUUCUAUAUCAGAAAUGCUUCGGACAUUGGGAAAUGCUGCCCAGUGCCGUUUCUAUGAUUCAUAGAUUUUCACUCACCUCACUAUGUUGGUAGUUCAUGGAUGACCCAUUGGUUCUCAUUGGGAAAGGAAAGCUAAGUAAAGGAAAUAGCACACACACAAAUGAGCUCAUUGUGAAAGUAAAGGAAAGAGGAUAUCAAGUAAGGCAAUGCUAUGUCUUUGACAUUUGGAUACUAGGGAAUUCAGAAUCCACCUCAGGUAAGCCAUGACUUAUAUAUUGCUGGUAUCCAUUAUGUGUAAUGUUAAAAGGAAAUCCUGAGGAGCUUCUUUAAUAGGUUGGGCACAAUGGAAUUAUGAUAAUGAUUAUGUUGUGGCUAGGGAACCACUGGUGACAUCACUAUCUUGUUAUGAAUUGUUUGUGAUGUGUAAACAUCAUGUGAUUGCUACAUUUCAUGUGUCUGGAUAUAACUGUUUUAUAAUA